rnacentral:lncRNA from 1 species
UGGGCGCCAAAAUCAUAAACCUCAAUACCCCAUUCGGUAUGAGAGUGAAACGGGUCGUCCCCAUACCCUAUCCGGUAUGGGCGCCAAAACACAUAAAGUCUCCAUACCCUGUCCGGUAUGAGAGACCACGUUCUCAGUAGGGUUCCCUAUGGACCCGGUCCGUCCACUAUCUCCUAGGAUAUCUAGUGAGGCUAUAGACAUUAUCCAUUAUCAAUUCACAUACAUUUUUACCAUUUUUCUUAAUCUCAAUUAUCCAUUCAAAAACAAACAUGUAAACCAGUAAUGAACACCAAAUAAGGCAACAUAACAUCGGGUUCACAAUAAUUCAAAGCAUAAUAAAUGAAACCGUGAUUCAUGCAUACGAAACCAUAGAAUAAACACAUCAGGCACCAUACUGCAUUCAAAACUGUAAAAUAAAUCAAACAACACUUGACCAAAAAUAUAUC